rnacentral:rRNA from 1 species
ACAUGUCUACAACAUAGCGUUAAUGCACUAGAUCCCAUUAGAACUCUACAGUUAAGCGUGCUCAGGAUAGAGUAGUACUGGGAUGGGUGAUCGUCCAUGAAGUCCUAGUGUUUUACAUGCC